rnacentral:rRNA from 1 species
GAUGAACGCUGGCGGCGUGCCUAAUACAUGCAAGUCGAGCGAACAGACGAGGAGCUUGCUCCUCUGACGUUAGCGGCGGACGGGUGAGUAACACGUGGAUAACCUACCUAUAAGACUGGGAUAACUUCGGGAAACCGGAGCUAAUACCGGAUAAUAUAUUGAACCGCAUGGUUCAAUAGUGAAAGACGGUUUUGCUGUCACUUAUAGAUGGAUCCGCGCCGCAUUAGCUAGUUGGUAAGGUAACGGCUUACCAAGGCAACGAUGCGUAGCCGACCUGAGAGGGUGAUCGGCCACACUGGAACUGAGACACGGUCCAGACUCCUACGGGAGGCAGCAGUAGGGAAUCUUCCGCAAUGGGCGAAAGCUUGACGGAGCAACGCCGCGUGAGUGAUGAAGGUCUUCGGAUCGUAAAACUCUGUUAUUAGGGAAGAACAAAUGUGUAAGUAACUAUGCACGUCUUGACGGUACCUAAUCAGAAAGCCACGACUAACUACGUG